GGGCGUGUGGUCUAGUGGUAUGAUUCUCGCUUUGGGCGAAGAUCGCGCUAAAACUCGAUCUGUGUAUCACAAAUAUGCGAGAGGCCCUGGGUUCAAUUCCCAGCUCGCCCC
rnacentral:tRNA from 1 species